rnacentral:rRNA from 1 species
UAAAUAAGCUGAGUUUGAUCCUAGCUCAGAGUGAAGGCUAUAAGCCUGCUUGAAUACAUGCGAGUUGAAUGGUUUUGCGCCAUAGCGCACGGGUGAGUAGAAAGUCAGUAUCUACCCUUAACUUUGGAAUAAUUCUAUCUCUCAGGGGAGAAAUAAUUGGAAAAAUACCAAAUAAAUUAUAAAAGGUACGCCGGUUGGGGAUGAUUAGAUUUAGUAUUAGGUAGUCGGUUGGGUUAGGCCUACCGAGCCAAAGAUGCUUAGUUGGUCUGUGAGGACGAUCAACCACACUGGGACUGAGACAAGGCCCAGGUUUCAUUUGAAGGCAGCAGUAAGGAAUAUUGGACAAUGAGCGAAAGCUUGAUCCAGCAAGGCUUGGUGAGGGAUUGAAGGCUAAGGUUGUAAACCUCUUUUUUAACUGAGGAUAAUGACAUUAAGUUAAGAAUAAGUCCCGACUAACUUCGUGCCAGCAGUCGCGGUAAUACGAAGGGGGCUAGCCUUAUUCGUCAUAACUGGGCGUAAAGGGUCCGUAGGUUGCUCUUUGUAACGUUAUAGGUCAAAUCCUUUAGCUAAACUAAAGAGAGGUCUUUAAUACAGAAGAGCUUGAGUCUGAUAAAGGAUAAUGGAAUUUUUCAACGAGGGGUAAAAUCCAUAGAAGUGGAAACGAACAUCAAAUGCGAAAGCGAUUAUCUAGUUCAGUACUGACGCUGAGGGACGAAGGCAUAGGUAGCGAACAGGAUUUGAGACCCUGGUAGUCUAUGCUGUCAACGAUGAAUGCUAGUUUUUAGAUCACUAGAAGCUAUAGCUAAGGCAUUAAGCAUUCCGCCUGAGGAGUACGAGCGCAAGCUUAAAAAUCAACGGAAUUGGCGGGGGUUCAAACAAGUGGUGGAGCAUGUGGUUUAAUGCGAUAAUACGCGCGCAACCUUACCAGUUCUAGUAAGUCUGUCGUUCUUGCGGAGACGUUUUGAAUUUUGGGACUUUCAGGUGUUGCAUGGCUGUCGUCAGCUCGUGUCGUGAGAUGUACGGUUAAUUCCUGUAACUGAGCGCAACCCUUAUCUUUUUUUUUUU